rnacentral:lncRNA from 1 species
GGGUCAGCCGGAUUGUGGAGGACGGGGAUCGACAGGCCGGGCCCAGACCCAUGAUAAAUAUUUUCAAGGGGUGAGACCUGAGACUCGAAUAUGGCUUGCCAACUCCUUAUUAUAAUUCUCUUUAAUUUCAACCAUACAGUCAACAUUCUUAUCAUUAAUUGGAUAUGAAGUCACUGCAACACCUGAUCAACAUCAAGUUAGUCACAACCAAUUACCCAGGGAGUAUAUCGUUUCUUUACUGACUUUGUGAAGUGGAGAGUGGAUGUCUGCAUCAACCUUUCUAGUCUUAAGCUUGGUCGCUUGCAACUGCAGCAAUCUGCUCUGAGGACAGUGUCAAGUGAGAAGUUUGAUUAAAGCAGCACAUCUGUCAAAAAGUAAUGCAGGUUAUGCCCACUAAUGGGCUGCCAAUAGGAACUCCAACAGGAGUGCCUAUUGGCGGCUCAUUAGCGGGCAUUAUGGCUGAGCUUAUAGUUAGGCAUAAAGAAGUUGAUGUAAUACACAAGCUUGCUACUGAGUUCAAGUUGUAUGCCAGGUACGUGGAUGACAUAUGUGUCAUAUGGAAACAAGCUGACCAUGGUACCAGUUUGGCUAAUAUGCU